UUUCAUUCGAUAAAAAACACUCGAAUGAAAAACAUGGAUUUUUGAGCGCGUUCGACGUUGAUAUAAACUUAUGCAUUUAAUCAUAGAAUAACAAAUAAUAAGUACAAAAACUAAAGUAUUUCUCGGACUCCAUUGUGAUAGUUGGCAUUGAAAUUGUUGACAAAAACGGAACUAAAAGAAAAGAGCGUGUACGUGUCAAAGUGUUCGUUGUGUGUUCCCGCUUAUUUAGUUCAGGAGAAAAUCAAUAUAACUGUGAAAACAGCGCUGUAGCUGUUUUCUGUGACGUCGAAUCUCACAGCAAAAGGGAAAUCACUAGGGGAAACUUGAGUUUUUCAACAAAAAGAGAAAAAUUGUCAAGUUUCGAGCACAGCAGAGAGGAGUAAUCGAAGGAGAAACAAAGGAUCUGCUCCAACUACAAAAGAAACAACAACAACAAGAACAAUCCAGCGUAGAUAAGCGGAACAGCAAAAAGAGACCAAAAUGGCAAAUAUAUUAACCAAUCCGAGGUACAUGUUUGGACCGACUGCUGCACUCGAGUUGACAGCGGUUCUCGACCAGGUGGACAACAAUACGAAUGCGACGCAGCUGUUCAAGAACAACAUCUAUAAUAUCAUGAACGAGUACAAUCGGGAGGAGGCGCGCCUGAAAACCUUCGCCAAUUGGCCUCUGGCGUGGCUCGACAAGAAUCAGUUGGCCCGAACGGGCAUGUUCUAUACGAACGAGGACGAUAAGGUCAAGUGCUAUUUCUGCGAGGUGGAAAUCGGGCGCUGGGAUCUCGAGGAUCAACCUGUACCUGAGCAUCUGCGCUGGUCGCCCAACUGUCCGCUCCUGCGCCGUCGCACCACCAACAAUGUGCCGCUAAACAGCGAGGCCCUCGAACGCAUCCUGCCCCCCAUCAGCUACGACAUUUGCGGCGCCAACGAUUCAACGGUGGAGCUGCGCGAGAGCGCCUAUGCCGAAGGUCGCAUACCCAUGUCGCACAUUACCCAGUCCACCGGCAUGAAUACCGGCGACUCCGCGCUGAUGGGCUCCAUUGCCACCUCGACGGCGGCCACCCAGGCCAACGGGGAUGUCCAGCCGGAGACGUGUCGGAACGUAGCCAGCGGCAAUUAUUUUCCCGAGUAUCCCGAAUACGCCGUGGAGUCGGCGCGCCUGCGCACCUUCGAGGAAUGGCCGCGCAACCUAAAGCAGAAGCCAAUGCAGCUCGCCGAGGCGGGUUUCUUCUAUACGGGCGUCGGCGACCGCGUCCGCUGUUUCAGUUGCGGCGGCGGUCUCAAGGACUGGGACGACAACGACGAGCCCUGGGAGCAGCACGCUCUCUGGCUCAGCCAGUGCCGCUUCGUCAAGCUGAUGAAGGGGCAGCUCUACAUCGACGCUGUGGGUGCCAAGCCGGAGCCAGUCGCAGAGAAAGAAGAGAGCACCACAGGCGCAGCCGAGACGCCCGCUACCACUUCCCCCACGACGACAACAACAACAGCAGCGACGGCGAUCGUCGAGGCCCCUUCCGGCGAUGUCGCCCCAUCGGCGGCCACUCGCAUAUACGAGAAGAUCGUGUCGGCCGCCAACCAGGAGGGCAGCACCAGCACGGCCGGAAGUGCGGCACCGGCGCCCAACGGUUCGCCGGUCAUUCCCGAGGAGAAGCUCUGCAAGAUCUGCUAUGCCGCGGAGUACAACACGGCGUUUUUACCCUGCGGCCAUGUGGUGGCCUGCGCCAAGUGCGCCUCGUCCGUGACCAAGUGCCCGCUCUGCCGGAAACCCUUCACCGAUGUGAUGCGUGUAUAUUUUUCUUAAGCCCCACAACCAUUAGGCGGAUCUCAAGUAUUAAUCAAAAUUGUAACAAAUUAAUAUCCGUUGCCAUCGCCACUGAUAUCGAUACAAUUUUGAUUAGAGCUCGCAAUGGUCCGCUAAUGAUCCAGGGCAAAACCGAUAUGAAAACCCUGAAUGUAAUAAUAGAUAAGAGUGCAGCCAAUAUAUCCACGUAUGCACCCAUGCGCAUAUGUACGCGCAUACAAGCGUGCGUUAUUUA